AUCCCCAGCAGAAGCUAGGGAGUGGCCCACACCCACUCGCGCUAACAUCGCUCGUUUUGAUGAGGUCCAGAACUUUCUGGGAACAGGUCUGCUGACCCAUCAGCUCAGGCUUGGUCUUAGGCGAACUGUCACAGGUGCACUCCCCCACCCCCAUCUCUCUCAUCCAAGUCCGGGCUUCUUGAUUUUCUCUCCGCCCCACUUCAGGGACAAGACUCUCACGGAGACCUCCAUACCACAUACCGCAGCAUCUUCUGUUACACUGGAUAAAAUACAGAUCUGUCAUAGGAACAGGAGCGCCUGCUCCACAGAAGUCCUGCAGAAGGCCAGCAGUGUGCAGUUUCUGGUGUCCACCCCAGCUGCUGGGAGGAGUGAGACCACACCUGCGCAAGACAUUCUUGCAUACGCAGCUCCAGAGGUCUGGGGUUUAACUAUCACGUGGAAGGGCUACAGAGGUAGGAAAGUGUACAGACCCUAAGCGAGCUGCCCACCUGCAUGGAGCCAGUGUGGGAGGGCAUCCUUCCAUCAUCCCAGUGGCUCCAGGUGAGGAAAGUGCAGACUAUGCUUGGUAACAGCAAAUCUGCUCUCGGUUUCUGGCCUGAACCGAAGGAAGGACAGAAGGAAGGACACAGCCAAUGUAAAGGUCCUGCCCCAGGUCUCUCCCUCCCUUGGGGUGGAAAUGAAAGUUCAGCCCCCAGGGCUGCCUGACAGACUGGGCAGUUGCUCUGUCUUUGGCUGCACUGUGGUGCCUCCCACGGGUAGUAACCCACCCUGAUUUUGUGUCUGUUUCUCCUGUUUUCCUCUCUCCCGGCUUCUGCCUCCUCAGCUCUUUCUCCGUGCUUUCCCUAUGCUUCAGCUCUUCCACUGAACAUGGCCACAAAGACCCCGGCUGGAUGCAGGAGUGAAGGCCGAUACAGAUGCUCCAGGUGGCUGUGAAGUCGUGAGUGACAAACCCUGUGUGAAACAGGGGUUCAUUUUUUGGACACACAUCUGACUGGAGCCCCGAGGUUGUUUCCUUUUUACCUUUUUUUGGUUCCUGCUUGUUUGAAUAUUUAUAUGCAUUGCUCUCAGGGACAUUUCAGACCCUUCCCUAAUCUCAGUGACCGUCCCCCGCCCCCCAGUGUCGCCUCUGUAGAGUGUGACUUCAUUGGCAAGGGCUCUGUAGAUGCCAGAUGGAUGGGCAAGGAAAGGGAGAAAGGGGGGUGACAGAGAUACCUCUAGGGAUGUCAAAAGAGUGUUGGGGGGGGGGCAGGAGAGGGCACAGGAGGCAAAGCACUUUGCUGCACAAGCUGAUGACCUGAGUUCAAUUCCUGGGGUCCACGGGAUGGAAGGAGAGAACCCACUCCUCCUAGUUGUCCUCUGACUGUGUGCGCACAGCGGCAACCCCCACUAUAAAAAAACAAACAUAAUAGAAAAAAAUUUAAAGAGCUUUUGGGGUCAGUCAAAAAGAAACACUGCCUUAGGAGUUAGAGGCUCCUUCUGAGCAGGGUGGAAAUGGGGUUUGAUGCCACUCUUGGGUGCUCCACAGCCAACCAAGGCCAGCAGCAUCCUGCCUGCAAGGCAGAGGAAGACAAGUCCGAUCCAGCCCAGCGAGUCCCAGAAAUAACAGACAGGGAAAUCAAUAAAACCUGGAACUGUCCAGUCUCUCUCUCGUUCUGGGUGGUGUGAAGUCCGAGGAACAGGGGGAUGGAAUCUGAACCAGGGGCUGAUCUCAGAGAGCCCAGGCUGAAGCUUUCACGGAAGCAAAGAGAGCUCUCCACCCCAGCGCUGGGAGAGCAGCAAGAGAAAGAAAGAAGCAAACGAAAUUCCUGAAUGGAUAGGAGAUGCUACGUCAGCGUCAGUGGUACCCGAGUCGCAUCCUCCACUCCACAAGAGAAGAAGAGCUGGGAGAGACCCGCGGCGGCGGCGGCGCAGCCACACGCCAGCAUCGCCAGCAUCGCCAGCAUCGCCUCUUCGCCUCACAGAGGCAAGGAGCAGUCGCCUAGAAGCAGCCUCCUCCAUCUCAUCGAUGGAUGUCGUCAUAGGUGGCCGGCAUCUCUGGCUUUGGGAUGUUUGGACUUGGCCCAGCCCAAAAAUCAGAGAGGGAACGAAGCCUUGGAAUGCACACCACGGAUACAGUCUCAUCUCCGUGUGGAGACUGCACACCCACCUUCCUGCCAAGGCCCUGCUAUGUCUAUAAUGCGGCCGCCACUGGCAGCUUCUCCGCUGGGCGGGUGGGUGCUCCACCCUCCCGCCCUCUCUCUGCCCUGUGGACGUGCGGACCAGUGACAUCCAGCACCACGGACAGCUCCUAGCGGCCUCUGGGUCAGUCAGCUCCACACCGAGUGUCAGCACCUGAUGUCUCCCUUGGGGUCACUUUGGUCAUUUCAGCCAUCUGUUGAAGUCGGCAAGCUCUUUGGAUGCCUCGUCCAUGCCAGGCUGGAAGAGACUCCCAUGGCCCAUAGAGUCUAGCGGGAAAGCAGACACAACUCAUCUCAGGCCAGCGGUUGCCCUGCGACAAGCCCGGUGGCUUCCUGGAGGACACCGAUAAAGCAGUAAAGCAAGGUCCUCUCCUUGUUCUCCAGAGCGGCAUGAGCCAGGCACUGUGGAAUCUCUGCUCAGGGAAAUGAAUAAGGACCUGUAAGCCCUGGUCCACAGCCUUCCAGCCUGAUUCUCCGGUCCUGGGCAUGGCCAAAGAAGACCUGACCUCGCUCUGUGCUCCCCUUCGAGGCCAAGUGUGUUCCCAGACUAAGAAAGGGCCGGCUCCAGCAAGCAGAAACGGACAGAGGCAGAGGGCACGUACCACCUGACAGCUUCUCCCCAGAGCCACGGAAUGAGGGCCUCGCUUGCCCGGUCACUUCCAGCAAGCUGUCCCGCCUGGCCCACCUAUUUCCCCUGUUGCCUCUCAGCUGCUCCCUAAAUCCUAUCCCAUGUCCAAUAAAGAGUGUUGCAGAUUGAA